rnacentral:rRNA from 1 species
GACGAACGCUGGCGGCGUGCUUAACACAUGCAAGUCGAACGGAAAGGCCCUGCUUUUGUGGGGUUCUCGAGUGCCGAACGGGUGAGUAACACGUGUGUAACCUGCCCUUGACUUUGUGAUAACUUCAGGAAACUGCGGCUAAUACCGGAUAGGAUCUCCUGCUGCAUGGUGGGCGUUGGAAAGUUUCGGCGGUUGGGGCUGGACUCGCGGCUUAUCAGCUUGUUGGUGGGGUAGUGGCUUACCAAGGCUUUGACGGGUAGCCGGCCUGAGAGGGUGACAGGCCACAUUGGGACUGAGAUACGGCCCAGACUCCUACGGGAGGCAGCAGUGGGGAAGAUUGCACAAUGGGCGGAAGCCUGAUGCAGCAACGCCGCGUGCGGGAUGACGGCCUUCGGGUUGUAAACCGCUUUCGCCUGUGACGAAGCGUGAGUGACGGUAAUGGGUAAAGAAGCACCGGCUAACUACGUG